AGAGUUUGAUCCUGGCUCAGAACGAACGCUGGCGGCGUGGAUAAGACAUGCAAGUCGAACGAGAGAAUUGCUAGCUUGCUAAUAAUUCUCUAGUGGCGCACGGGUGAGUAACACGUGAGUAACCUGCCCCCGAGAGCGGGAUAGCCCUGGGAAACUGGGAUUAAUACCGCAUAGUAUCGAAAGAUUAAAGCAGCAAUGCGCUUGGGGAUGGGCUCGCGGCCUAUUAGUUAGUUGGUGAGGUAACGGCU
rnacentral:rRNA from 1 species